UAAACGAUGUCGACUUGGAGGUUGUGGCUUCCGGAGCUAACGCGUUAAGUCGACCGCUGGGGAGUACGGCCGCAAGGUUAAAACUCAAAUGAAUUGACGGGGGCCCGCACAAGCGGUGGAGCAUGUGGUUUAAUUCGAUGCAACGCGAAGAACCUUACCUGGUCUUGACAUCCAGGUGCUGCAUGGCUGUCGUCAGCUCGUGUUGUGAAAUGUUGGGUUAAGUCCCGCAACGAGCGCAACCCUUAUCCUUUGUUGCAACUCAAAGGAGACUGCCAGUGAUAAACUGGAGGAAGGUGGGGAUGACGUCAAGUCAUCAUGGCCCUUACGACCAGGGCUACACACGUGCUACAAUGGCGCAUACAAAGAGAAGCGACCUCGCGAGAGCAAGCGGACCUCAUAAAGUGCGUCGUAGUCCGGAUUGGAGUCUGCAACUCGACUCCAUGAAGUCGGAAUCGCUAGUAAUCGUGGAUCAGAUGCCACGGUGAAUACGUUCCCGGGCCUUGUACACACCGCCCGUCACACCAUGGGAGUGGGUUGCAAAAGAAGUAGGUUACCACUUUGUGAUUCAUGACUGGGGUGAAGUCGUAACAAGGUAACCGA
rnacentral:rRNA from 1 species